GCAUGGUCGGGGCGGUUGAGUGAUUUUGCGCGUGGUAGCACUGCCAUCUAUCAACAAACGAGUUUCUGCGUGACGUGAAACAACACACCCGCAAGAGGCGCUCCCACCGGGCGGAAAAUAACUCUUGCGCCCCGACCCAAAACCUCCCGUUUUUUUUUGUACAGUAAUCCCCGAACGAAGAAAAACAAAAAUGAGUGCGCCUAACAACUGAUCGAAAGCAAAAAAUGUGCAAAAGCUAACGACAGAGGUUUUACUAGCAGCCUGAAAGUUUCAUCGUGACCAGCAUAGAGCUAUGAGCAGGCUUUCGAUAUAACGAGAGUAAAUGGUGGAUGAAAAUAGAAUCGAGCAAAACAAAGCUGGCAUUAUAGAUUUAGAAUAUUGAAAA